rnacentral:misc_RNA from 1 species
UUAUGGGCCUGAAUGGCAGCGGGAGUCGACAUAGCUGGUGCCUGGGCAGGUUUCCAAAGCACAGCCGAGGUGGAGAGUAGUCCUCACAGCAACCCCAUGCAGUGACUGCUGUCACUUCUUUUCAUGGCUGAGAAGACUGUUGGGAGAGGAAAAAUG